rnacentral:tRNA from 5 species
GGGCGAGUGGCGGAACUGGUAUACGCGCAGGUCUCAAAAACCUGUGGGCGCAAGCUCUUGAGGGUUCGAUUCCCUCCUCGCCCACCA